rnacentral:rRNA from 1 species
UGGGGAAUUUUGCACAAUGGGGGAAACCCUGAUGCAGCGACGCCGCGUGAUUUAGAAGGCCUUCGGGUUGUAAAAAUCUUUUCUAUGGGAAGAAAAUGACAGUACCAUAGGAAUAAGGACCGGCUAAUUACGUGCCAGCAGCCGCGGUAAUACGUAAGGUCCGAGCGUUGUCCGGAAUCAUUGGGCGUAAAGGGUACGUAGGCGGGUAAGCAAGUUAGAAGUGAAAUCCUAUAGCUCAACUAUAGUAAGCUUUUAAAACUGCUCAUCUUGAGGUAUGGAAGGUAAAGUGGAAUUCCUAGUGUAGCGGUGAAAUGCGCAGAUAUUAGGAGGAAUACCGGUGGCGAAGGCGACUUUCUGGCCAUAACCUGACGCUGAGGUACGAAAGCGUGGGUAGCAAACAGG